AAAGAGAAUCUUUAUUUCCUCUCCAAUUCAUAUUGUUAAGCUGGUCUAGACCAAGAGGAGUUAAUUGUUUUGGACUCGAUUAUUUGAGGUUGGCGAUAAAACGACAAGCGACAUUCGAAAUGGACGAAUUUAAUAUUCAAGAAGUGGUGAACUGGACGUGUUCAACUGACCGUGACUCCAGGCUAAAUUUACUAAAGA